rnacentral:rRNA from 1 species
GCUCGAGUGGCGAACGGGUGAGUAACACGUGAGUAACCUGCCCUUGACUUUGGGAUAACUUCAGGAAACUGGGGCUAAUACCGGAUAGGAGCUCCUGCUGCAUGGUGGGGGUUGGAAAGUUUCGGCGGUUGGGGAUGGCUCGCGGCUUAUCAGCUUGUUGGUGGGGUAGUGGCUUACCAAGGCUUUGACGGGUAGCCGGCCUGAGAGGGUGACCGGCCACAUUGGGACUGAGAUACGGCCCAG